rnacentral:lncRNA from 1 species
GUUGGACAUAACCAUUGAACUACAAAGUUAUUUCAAAUUCAAUGCCUUUUGGCCGUGGUAAUUUUCUUUAAGUGGAUCUUCCAUUAGACUAUAAGCUCCCUGAGGGCUGGGACUAUUUUUGUUUUUAUUUGUACCCCUACAUCCAACACAUAGUAGUUACUUAAUAAAUGUUUUUUGACUGACCCACCUUGCAUAAAUUCCUAAAUAAUUUUAACAUAUUUAAGUGAGUCUAUUUUUUUUUUAUAAUAUGUAUGCUUUAUUAAAAGUGUUACUGCUCAGUAGAUUUCUGAACAGAGUCAAAGAAUUUCAUGGAAAGGGCUAAACCCUAAGAUACUUAUAUGUGUGAUAUAGAUACAACGUAGGCAGUUCAUCCUGAUUGGGCAACAGCUCUGCUCUUAUCAACUCUGCGUCACUUCCUCCCGGACACAUACUUCCGUUCAUAAAAUCAUUUUGGAUAUUUUAAGAUGUCUAUCUUAAGGGCUUCAGAAGGAGUCGUUACACUCAGAACUGAUGCGUGUGCACUGGACUCUACUCAAUAUCAGGACCAGGUCAAGGGGUCAAAGGUGAAGGGUCACACAUUAUUGAAAGGAAAUCCAAAAGGACAUCGGCAUCAUGAGCUUUCCUUAGUGUUUCAGUGGUGCCUCUCUUUGGGACUCAACUCAACAUUUGAUUUCUCCAGGAAACCUUUGCCAGUGAGCUCAGGACCACCCACCAGCCCUCACCACUUUGGGAGGAAGAGAAGUAGAGUGCUACCUCAUUGCCACAGAUCAAAGAAGACAUGAGUCUGAAUCCACCGUCAGGCAUUUGCCCGCUGUGGUGCUGGGCAAGCCACUUCAUUUCUGUUGUCUGUUUCCUCAUCUAUACAAUGAGGAUAAUCAUAGCCCUUACUUCCCAGAGUUGUUGCAAGGAUCAAGUGAAAUAAUAAUGGUAAAAGUAUUAGCCCAUUGCUUGGCACAUAGUAGGACCUUUAUAAAUAUUAGCUAUUAUUAUUAAUCUCCUAACACCUUGGUUUCUACUGAAGCAUUGAUAUAUGCUUGAAGUUGGCAAUUUUUCAUGAAAAUCAUCUUUUCUUCCUCCUUUCCUCAUAUUAAUCAGUUAGAGGAACUGAAUUCAAUUUUCUUAUUAUUCUCCAAUACCUCUGUGUCUCUGGAACAUUAAUCAAGUUUCUUGUCUUGCAACGAGUGUCUUGCUUGCAACGAGUGUCUGUCUCCAGGCCACAAGGCAGUAUUCCUAUGGUACUGUGAGGUUGGCAUUGAUGUGGCAAAGAACUCUGUGGAGCUGGGAAAGCAUAAACACACGGCAUGUAAAUAAAAGAUGCCCUCCCACUUUCCCUUUAAAUUCC